UUCCCAAAAACUGAACUGAUUAUCCUCACUCACAAGCCAGAUCAUCCUGAGUCUCUUACCCCAAUGAACAGCUCUAUCCAACAGCUCAGUUACCAGUUGCAGGUGAUGGAAACCAAACUAACAGUGAUGUCAGCCGUGAUGAAAUUGAAGCUGUGAUAAAACAUGACGUGAGGUGGUUUUGGAAGAUCUUCCAGAGAAAACACUUUCCACAUCCUACCUGGAGGAUAAAAAGCCUGGUGCAAGAAUUCUGGAACCCUAGUAGGGAAGAUAGCUGGGAGUCUCAGCAUCUUGAGGAAGCAUAUUGAAGUCAGGACUCAGCAAGCUUGUGGCUGGCUUUGACUGAUGAAAUAUGAACAGAAGUAACACGUGCUGCAUCUGGGCAGAAGCUGUAAGAGCCAUCCUCCAGCUCCACCAUGUUUUCUUUCCCUCUGCCACAGACCUGUGAUGCUGCAGACUAGCAGCUUGCAGCAGUCUAAGGAUGUGAGAAGAGAAAGUCCUCUUGGAAGUCAUUCAUAAUGGAUGAAUGAUACAGUAUAAGGAGAAUGAGGGAUUUGGAUUUGAUAGCAAACAUAUCAUUGAAAUGGCUGGCUGCAAGGUCCAUCCCAGAGAAGCAAGGUGACUCAACAGGUGAUCUGGAUUCCGCAACCUGGAAAGCUUCAAGGAGCCAGAAGGCAUUUGACAUGCUGACUCUGGUGGUGAGAGAAUGGAAGAAAUGGAGGUGGUGUUUCCGAGGGAAAAGUUCAAAUCCCUGAGGGAAGGGAUGUGAUUGCCUCAGCCGAGCGCUUGCACAUCUGUUUGGGAAGAGCCCUUCGUGGCAGGCCCAACUCGUCCUGGCAAACUGGAGACAGGCCACCUGGAACAGGGGACCAUUCUCAGUCCAGCCCGGACAGGGCAGAACUGCUGAUCCAGAACAUGCUGUCCAGACAACUUCCCUGACUGAGAAACCAGUGAAGAGACUGGGCCCUCAUACCUGAUUCAUUUGGAGCAGACCCUCAAUAAUGUUGGAUCUUGGAGCAUAGAGGCAAAGAAAAUCAUAAAAGGCAGAGCAGUGCUCAAGAAAUGUUUACAGCUGAGGAGGCUCCGAGGGGUUUGCCUGAAGGACAUGAAGUCCAUCCA